UGUGCUUCGGCGCGAGCGGCAAGGCAGACUAACAGCAAUGGGAAGGAAGAAACAGUAAUUUAUAAGCGCUUUCUUCCGGACCUCUCGUGUCUGCUCUCUAAUGAGCGAGCGCUGAGCAUCACCCAUCCUGAAUGACAUGGUCCUUCACAAAGAUUUUACAUGAUUGUAUAUUACAAUGUAUUCUACUCUUCUAGUACUGCAGGUUGAUAUUUGGAAACAUCAUCACAAGCUAGGUUGCCACAUAGAACGGAGGGAGGACGUUGUCCAUGUGCUUCACUAGUCAAAAUAAUCUUUUUUCCCAUGGGAACCAAGGUCAUCGGAUGCUCCCAAGAUUAAGGACUGGGCAUUGCAUAAUCAUAUUAGGGACAUAGUUGCUUGCAUAGUUUUAUGGGUGGGACAUUUAACUUUGUAUUGUUAAAUUGUUACUUGUGUAUUCAUAUUUGGUUUCACUCUUGACCAUGCCGAUACUUUGUAACUAAUAAACAUGUUCU